UGAAACAUGAGAAUCACAAAAGGUUGGC
rnacentral:sRNA from 1 species